GAGGGUAUAGCUCAGUGGUAGAGUGCCUGCUUAGCAUGCACAGGGUCCUGGGUUCAAUCCCCAGCACCUGCA
rnacentral:tRNA from 1 species